AGUCGAGCGGAGAUGAGGUGCUUGCACCUUAUCUUAGCGGCGGACGGGUGAGUAAUGCUUAGGAAUCUGCCUAUUAGUGGGGGACAACAUUCCGAAAGGGAUGCUAAUACCGCAUACGUCCUACGGGAGAAAGCAGGGGAUCUUCGGACCUUGCGCUAAUAGAUGAGCCUAAGUCGGAUUAGCUAGUUGGUGGGGUAAAGGCCUACCAAGGCGACGAUCUGUAGCGGGUCUGAGAGGAUGAUCCGCCACACUGGGACUGAGACACGGCCCAGACUCCUACGGGAGGCAGCAGUGGGGAAUAUUGGACUAUGGGGGGAACCCUGAUCCAGCCAUGCCGCGUGUGUGAAGAAGGCCUUAUGGUUGUAAAGCACUUUAAGCGAGGAGGAGGCUACUGAGACUAAUACUCUUGGAUAGUGGACGUUACUCGCAGAAUAAGCACCGGCUAACUCUGUGCCAGCAGCCGCGGUAAUACAGAGGGUGCGAGCGUUAAUCGGAUUUACUGGGCGUAAAGCGUGCGUAGGCGGCUUUUUAAGUCGGAUGUGAAAUCCCCGAGCUUAACUUGGGAAUUGCAUUCGAUACUGGGAAGCUAGAGUAUGGGAGAGGAUGGUAGAAUUCCAGGUGUAGCGGUGAAAUGCGUAGAGAUCUGGAGGAAUACCGAUGGCGAAGGCAGCCAUCUGGCCUAAUACUGACGCUGAGGUACGAAAGCAUGGGGAGCAAACAGGAUUAGAUACCCUGGUAGUCCAUGCCGUAAACGAUGUCUACUAGCCGUUGGGGCCUUUGAGGCUUUAGUGGCGCAGCUAACGCGAUAAGUAGACCGCCUGGGGAGUACGGUCGCAAGACUAAAACUCAAAUGAAUUGACGGGGGCCCGCACAAGCGGUGGAGCAUGUGGUUUAAUUCGAUGCAACGCG
rnacentral:rRNA from 1 species